rnacentral:misc_RNA from 1 species
GCCGGACUCUCCCCUUCUCUCUGUCUCGCUCCUUCGUUCGCUCGCUUUAUCCCCCCCGAAUAAAGGCGAGAAGCCGCAGCGGCGGACGAAGAAGAGGGCAGAUAGAAAUGGCGGCGGAGACGUUCCUCUUCACCUCCGAGUCCGUGAACGAGGGUCACCCGGACAAGCUGUGCGACCAGGUGUCGGACGCGGUGCUCGACGCGUGCCUCGCCCAGGACCCCGACAGCAAGGUGGCGUGCGAGACGUGCACCAAGACCAACAUGGUGAU